rnacentral:rRNA from 1 species
UAGAAAUAGCAGGUAAUACCGAAUACACUCAGUGCUUCAUAAGGGGUAUUGAGGAAAGGAAGCUACGGCUUCGCUUGAGGAUGAGCUUGCGUCCCAUUAGCUAGUUGGUGAGGUAAAGGCCCACCAAGGCGACGAUGGGUAUCCGGCCUGAGAGGGUGAUCGGACACAUUGGGACUGAGAUACGGCCCAAACUCCUACGGGAGGCAGCAGCUAAGAAUAUUCCGCAAUGGACGGAAGUCUGACGGAGCGACGCCGCGUGGAUGAAGAAGGCUGAAAAGUUGUAAAAUCCUUUUGUUGAUGAAGAAUAAGGGUGAGAGGGAAUGCUCAUCUGAUGACGGUAAUCGACGAAUAAGCCCCGGCUAAUUACGUGCCAGCAGCCGCGGUAACACGUAAGGGGCGAGCGUUGUUCGGAAUUAUUGGGCGUAAAGGGCAUGUAGGCGGUUAUGUAAGCCUGAUGUGAAAUCCUGGGGCUUAACCCUAGAAUAGCAUUGGGUACUGUGUAACUUGAAUUACGGAAGGGAAACUGGAAUUCCAAGUGUAGGGGUGGAAUCUGUAGAUAUUUGGAAGAACACCGGUGGCGAAGGCGGGUUUCUGGCCGAUAAUUGACGCUGAGAUGCGAAAGUGUGGGGAUCGAACAGGAUUAGAUACCCUGGUAGUCCACACUGUAAACGAUGUACACUAGGUGUUGGGGCAAGAGCUUCAGUGCCAAAGCAAACGCGAUAAGUGUACCGCCUGGGGAGUAUGCCUGCAAGGGUGAAACUCAAAGGAAUUGACGGGGGCCCGCACAAGCGGUGGAGCAUGUGGUUUAAUUCGAUGGUACGCGAGGAACCUUACCUGGGUUUGACAUCUAGUAGAAGGUCUUAGAGAUAAGGCCGGGUAGCAAUACCCUGCUAGACAGGUGCUGCAUGGCUGUCGUCAGCUCGUGCCGUGAGGUGUUGGGUUAAGUCCCGCAACGAGCGCAACCCCUACUGCCAGUUACUAACAGGUAAAGCUUGAGGACUCUGGCGGAACUGCCGAUGACAAAUCGGAGGAAGGUGGGGAUGACGUCAAGUCAUCAUGGCCCUUAUGUCCAGGGCUACACACGUGCUACAAUGGUUGCUACAAAGCGAAGCGAGACCGUAAGGUGGAGCAAACCGCAAAAAAGCAAUCGUAGUUCGGAUUGAAGUCUGAAACUCGACUUCAUGAAGUUGGAAUCGCUAGUAAUCGCGCAUCAGCACGGCGCGGUGAAUACGUUCCCGGGCCUU